AGAGUUUGAUCAUGGCUCAGAACGUACGCUGGCGGCACGCCUAACACAUGCAAGUCGAACGAAGUAGCAAUACUUAGUGGCAGACGGGUGAGUAACAUGUGGGUAUCUACCCUUUGGCCUGGAAUAACACGAGGAAACUUGUGCUAAUACCGGAUAAGUCUUUACGGAGAAAGCUUUAUGCACCAUUGGAUGAGCCCGCACUUGAUUAGUUUGUUGGUAGGGUAAUGGCCUACCAAGACUAUGAUCAAUAGCUGAUUUGAGAGGAUGAUCAGCCACAUUGGGACUGAGACACGGCCCAAACUCCUACGGGAGGCAGCAGUGGGGAAUCUUGCACAAUGGAGGAAACUCUGAUGCAGCGAUGCCGCGUGAGUGAAGAAGGCCUUUGGGUUGUAAAGCUCUUUCGUCGGGGAAGAAAAUGACUGUACCCGAAUAAGAAGGUCCGGCUAACUUCGUGCCAGCAGCCGCGGUAAUACGAAGGGACCUAGCGUAGUUCGGAAUUACUGGGCUUAAAGAGUUCGUAGGUGGUUGAAAAAGUUGGUGGUGAAAUCCCAGAGCUUAACUCUGGAACUGCCAUCAAAACUUUUCAGCUAGAGUGUGAUAGAGGAAAGCAGAAUUUCUAGUGUAGAGGUGAAAUUCGUAGAUAUUAGAAA
rnacentral:rRNA from 1 species